UUCCGGUUGAUCCUGCCGGACCCGACUGCUAUCAGAGUGGGACUAAGCCAUGCGAGUCGACGUAGCAAUGCGUGGCGAACGGCUCAGUAACACGUAGUCAACAUGCCCAGGGGACGUGGAUAACCUCGGGAAACUGAGAAUAAACCACGAUAGGUCACGAUUUCUGGAAUGGAUCGUGGCCUAAAUCUACAUGGCCCCUGGAUUGGACUGCGGCCGAUCAGGCAGUUGGUGAGGUAAUGGCCCACCAAACCUAUAACCGGUACGGGCUCUGAGAGGAGAAGCCCGGAGAUGGGCACUGAGACAAGGGCCCAGGCCCUAUGGGGCGUAGCAGGCGCGAAACCUCUGCAAUAGGCGAAAGCCUGACAGGGUUACUCUGAGUGAUUUCCGCUAAGGGGAUCUUUUGGCACCUCUAAAAAUGGUGCAGAAUAAGGGGUGGGCAAGUCUGGUGUCAGCCGCCGCGGUAAUACCAGCACCCCGAGUGGUCGGGACGAUUAUUGGGCCUAAAGCAUCCGUAGCCGGUUCUGCAAGUCUUCCGUUAAAUCCAGCCGCUCAACGGAUGGGCCGCGGAGGAUACUAUAGGACUAGGAGGCGGGAGAGGCAAGCGGUACUCAGUGGGUAGGGGUAAAAUCCUUUGAUCCAUUGAAGACCACCAGUGGCGAAGGCGGCUUGCCAGAACGCGCUCGACGGUGAGGGAUGAAAGCUGGGGGAGCAAACCGGAUUAGAUACCCGGGUAGUCCCAG
rnacentral:rRNA from 1 species